GGGGAUUUAGCUCAGUGGCAUAAGCACCUGCCUUGCAAGCAUGCAGUUGUGAGUUCAAUCCCCG
rnacentral:tRNA from 1 species